UGAAGAGUUUGAUCAUGGCUCAGAUUGAACGCUGGCGGCAGGCCUAACACAUGCAAGUCGAACGGUAACAGGAAGCAGCUUGCUGCUUCGCUGACGAGUGGCGGACGGGUGAGUAAUGUCUGGGAAACUGCCUGAUGGAGGGGGAUAACUACUGGAAACGGUGGCUAAUACCGCAUAACGUCGCAAGACCAAAGAGGGGGACCUUCGGGCCUCUUGCCAUCAGAUGUGCCCAGAUGGGAUUAGCUUGUUGGUGAGGUAACGGCUCACCAAGGCGACGAUCCCUAGCUGGUCUGAGAGGAUGACCAGCCACACUGGAACUGAGACACGGUCCAGACUCCUACGGGAGGCAGCAGUGGGGAAUAUUGCACAAUGGGCGCAAGCCUGAUGCAGCCAUGCCGCGUGUAUGAAGAAGGCCUUCGGGUUGUAAAGUACUUUCAGCGGGGAGGAAGGUGUUG
rnacentral:rRNA from 2 species